ensembl:lncRNA
AUCUUUAGUCAGAGUGGGCCAUAUGAGAAAGCAACGAUUCUUCUGGGUUUCAGCCACCCUGGGAGAUUAGCCAGUGUUCUCUAUUUUUUUUCUUCCUUCCAGCAUCCUCAGGCUCACCCACCCCCUGCCAGUGCUCCACCUCUAAAUUCAGUUCCAGGCUUCUGGGGAGCACCCACUGGCCUGUAGUGUUGGUGUGGGAUAAGAAGCCAGAAAGCCACUUUUUCCUUUUCCAUCCAUCCUUUUCGGAUGGAGAGACAAAAGGAAAGCUGGAAUUAGAAUCCAUAUUGUAAAAUCGGAUUCAUGACUAGAAUUGUAGAGCUGGAGAGGGUCUCCGAAGGUCAUCUGUCCAAGGCAGCCAGGAUUCAGUUAAGUUGCCCCCUUCUGCACCGCACAAUCUCCCAACCCCUUCUGUGCACUUUCCCUGGCUCCCUCACUCCUCAAGAGUCCUUUCUUUGGGGUCCAUGGUCACUUUCCUUUAGUGUCAAAUUGAAGCCACUUUUUUUUUUUUUUUCUCCUGGCCACUGCAGCUUCAGGAGCUCUGAGGGCAGGGAGUGAACUAAUUCACCUUUAGCUCCUGUGCUUAGCACCCUGUGGAGCCCUGGUUAGGAUGGCGAAGCACUCUCUCUCAUCCUACCCUCCCCCUGGCAGUUCUUCCUAGAUGCCCCCUCCCACUCCUCUGCCUUGCAUCCCUUGCUGCUAACAUUUUCUCACUUGAGUAAAUUUGACCUAGAUUCUUCCAAGUGCCUUUCUGAUCCCCCAACUUUUCUUUAAAUAGUGCCCCCAGAAAGUUCCCAGGCUAGGGGUUGCAUCGGAGCUACAGCUGCUGGCCUACACCACAGCCACAACAACGCAGGAUUGAAGCCGCAUCUGUGACCUACGCCGCAGCUCAUGGCAACUCUGGAUCUUUAACCUAGUGAUCGAGGCCAGGGAUCAAACCCACAUCCUUAUGGAUACUAGUAGGGUUUGUUAACCACCAAGCCAUGUCAGGAACUCCUGCAGGUGCAGUUUUGUCUGGCUGUCAUGCGCCCUAUUUCCUGGGUCCUAUCUUAGAUGAUUUUAUCUUGGACAUCUGUCCAGAGAACCAUGUCUCCAUUGGACACUAGAUAAAGCUCUUCUGACUCUGACCAGAAGUGAUUUUUAAGGCUUCAACUUGCUCAGCAGUGAGAGGAGGAUAAUCCCGUCAAAUAGCAAGGGGUCAUUUUCUGACUUUUCCUGCACCCAGCAAGCCUCCAACCCCUGCAAGUCCUGCCUUCACCCUGGGAUCUGUGCACCUGUGACCCUCCACACCUUCCUGCAGAAACGGCCAUUCUGUCCUUUACUGAAGCUGCUGCCUUUCUGUGGCAGGCCCACGGCCUCUAGCUCCUCUCAGAGGACUUUUUGACCCUGGCAGGACUCCUGCAGAGGUUCUCUGGCUGGUCCAAAUAUCACCCAUACCCCUCUCCUUCUGUAGAGGAGACUGGGUGGGUGUACCCUGAGCCACAUGGUGCCAGCCCCUUCCAGCUCAGCUCCCAGCAGCUUCACUUCCUCACAAGCUCCCCCCCCUCACCCCGAGCCCCGCCACCUCCUUCUUUCCAGAGAUAAAGCUCUUUUAGAAUGUUGGCGUGGGCUAAGCUGCAUGCCAUCAAAUUUAUAUGUCCAAGUCCUAACCCUCAGUACAUCAAAAUGUAACCUUUUUGUUUCGUGUGAUUAAUUUCCAAUGUCGUGUUAGUUUCUGGUGUACACACAGCACAGUGAUUCACUUACAUACUUAUAUAUAUAUAUUAUUUUUCAUGUUCUUUUCCGUUAUGGUUUAUUACAGGAUAUUGAAUAUAGGUCCCUAUGCUAUACAGGAGAACCUCGUUGUUUAUUUUAUAUAUAGUAGUUUGUAUCUGCUAAUCCCAAAGUCCUAAUUUAUCCUUCCUCCACCCCCUUUCCCCUUGGUAACCAUAAGUUCAUUUUCUAUUUCUGUGAGUCUGUUUCCCUUUCAUAAAUAAGUUCAUGUGUGUUAUAUUUUAGAUUCCAUAUACAAAUCUUGCCAUAUGGCAUUUGUCUUUCUCUUUCUGACUUUACUUCGUAUGGUCAUCUCUAGGUCCAUUCAUGGUGCUGCAAAGGCAUUAUUUCAUUCUUUUUUAUGGCUGAGUAGUAUUCCAUUGUGUAUAUAUAUCAUGUCUUCUUCAUCCAUUCAUCCACUGAUGGACAUUUAGGUUGCUUCCAUGUCUUGGCUAUUGUAAAUAGUGCUGCUGUGAACAUUGGGGUGCUUUUAUCUUUUCAAAUUAUAGUUUUGUCUGGACAUAUGCCCAGGAGUGGGAUUGCUAGGUCAUAUGGGAACUCUAUUUUUAGUUUUUUAAGGAACCUCCAUACUGUUUUCUAUAGUGGUUGUACCAAUUUACAUUCCUACCAACAGUGUAGGAGGGUUCCCUUUUCUCUACAACCUCUCCAGCAUUUAUUUGUAGACCUUUUUAUUUUUGUGGCUGAUAUGCAGUGGUACCUCACUGUGGUUUUGAUUUGCAUUUCUCUAAUAAUUACUGAUGUUGGGCAUCUUUUUCCUGUGCCUAUUGGCCAUCUGUAUAUUUUCUUUGGAAAAAUGUCUAUUUAGGUCUUCUGCCCAUUUAAAAAAAAUUUUUUUUUUUUGGUUGUAGGGCUGCACCCGAAGCAUAUGGACGUUCCCAGUGAGGAGUCGAAUCGGAGCUACAUCACAGCCAUGCUACAUCACGGCCAUAGCAACGUGGCAUCCAAGUCCUGUCUGCUACCUACACCACAGCCCACUGCAACGCUGGAUCCUUAACCCACUGAUCAGGGCCAGAGAUCAAACCUGAAUUCUCUUGGAUACCAGUUGGAUUUGUUUCUGCUAUGCCGCAGUGGGAACUCCUGCUUUUAUUUCUAUCAUCUGGGGAAACUGACCUAAGAAAAUAUUGGUACAGUUUAUGUCAGAGGUACAGUUUAUGCUCUUUUCUAGAAUGUGCCCUGUUUUGGAGAUGGGGCCCUUAUAGAGGUAAUGAAGUUAAAGUGAGGUCCUUACGGUGGGCUCUAAUCCAGUGUAAGUGGUGUCCUUAUAAAAAGGGAAGCGUGAACACAUGGACAGACAGACACACAGACAGCCGUGUGAAGACGAAGGAACGCAGAGGUUGGAAAGCCAAGGAUGGCCAGAGAUUGCCAGCCAACCUUCAGAAGCCAGGAGGAGGCAUGAAACAGAUUCUCCCUCACAGCCUCAGAGGGAACCAGCCCUGCCAAUACCUUGAUCUCAGACGUCAAGCCUCCUAUGUAAUGCGAGACAAAACAUUUCUGUUAAGCUACCCAGUGUGGGGUACUUUGUUCCAGUAGCCACAGAAAAUGAAUAAAAAUGUGUUUAUGAGCACAACACUGAACAUCUGAAAAUCAUCAGAGGAUUUCUGUGGUCACUACCUCACGCUUCCUUCUAAGAUUGAAUCUGUUUCUUUGCCAUUUAAAUUCAAAUAGCAUUUGUUAAGCAUCUACCACAGGUGAGAAUUUUUCUUUGAGGUAUUAGUUUACAUACCUCUCAGAAAUCAUUGCUUUCAGGAAAAAAAAAAAAAAAAAAA